rnacentral:rRNA from 1 species
GAGUUUGAUCCUGGCUCAGAACGAACGCUGGCGGCGUGCUUAACACAUGCAAGUCGAACGCGAAAGUUUUCUUCGGAAGACGAGUAGAGUGGCGCACGGGUGAGUAACGCGUAAGUAAUCUGCCCUGGUAUCUGGAAUAACUCACCGAAAGGUGUGCUAAUACCGGAUACGCUGAGCAAUCAGGAAAGAUGGCCUCUUCAUGAAAGCUAUCGUACCAGGAGGAGCUUGCGUACCAUUAGCUAGUUGGUAGGGUAAUGGCCUACCAAGGCGACGAUGGUUAGCGGGUCUGAGAGGAUGAUCCGCCACACUGGAACUGAAACACGGACCAGACUCCUACGGGAGGCAGCAGUGAGGAAUAUUGCGCAAUGGGGGCAACCCUGACGCAGCGACGCCGCGUGGAUGAUGAAGGCCUUCGGGUCGUAAAAUCCUGUCAGAUGGAAAGAAAUGUCAUGUGCCUAAUACGUAUGUGAUUUGACGGUACCAUCAAAGGAAGCACCGGCUAACUCCGUGCCAGCAGCCGCGGUAAUACGGAGGGUGCAAGCGUUGUUCGGAAUUACUGGGCGUAAAGCGCGCGUAGGCGGCUUGUUAAGUCAGAUGUGAAAGUCCACGGCUCAACCGUGGAAGUGCAUGUGAAACUGGCAGGCUUGAGUAUUGGAGGGGGUUAGUGGGAAUUCCCGGUGUAGAGGUGAAAUUCGUAGAUAUCGGGAGGAAUACCGGUGGCGAAGGCGACUACCUGGCCAAAUACUGACGCUGAGGUGCGAAAGCGUGGGGAGCAAACAGGAUUAGAUACCCUGGUAGUCCACGCCGUANACGAUGUGAACUAGGUGUUGGGAUGGUUAAUCGUCUCAUUGCCGCAGCUAACGCAUUAAGUUCACCGCCUGGGGAGUACGGUC